rnacentral:rRNA from 1 species
CAGCAGCCGCGGGAAUACGAAGGGUGCAAGCGUUAAUCGGAAUUACUGGGCGUAAAGCGUGCGUAGGCGGUUUGUUAAGUCUGUUGUGAAAUCCCCGGGCUCAACCUGGGAAUGGCAAUGGAUACUGGCAAGCUAGAGUGUGUCAGAGGAUGGUGGAAUUCCCGGUGUAGCGGUGAAAUGCGUAGAGAUCGGGAGGAACAUCAGUGGCGAAGGCGGCUUACUGGCUCAUACUGGACGCUGAGGUGCGAAAGCGUGGGGAGCAAACAGGAUUAGAUACCCCUGUAGUCCCUGUCUCUUAUAC